rnacentral:lncRNA from 1 species
GAUAAAUCAAAAUGCAGAAAUGCUUCUUUCUGGAAUCCCACAGUUGUAGCUAGGACUUGGUUGUAGUCUUAGGUGAAUAACCUGGUUCACACAGCUGUUUAAAGACAGAGAAAUAGAAAUUGCUGGAGAAAUUGUGUUUUUAUUGUCCAGAAAAGGAAAGGUAUUCCAAAGAGCUGACAAAUAAUUCUGCAUAACCCAAAGUAGUCCUGUUGGCACAGGAUAUGGUAUUGUUUUCUAAGUUUAAACAGUAAUAAGAGAUUGUGUGUACAUAUCCUGAUACUGUCAAUUGUAUUCCUGACAAAAUCACAAGAGAUUCAAGAAGUCUCCACGCUUAGAACACAUCCCCUUUUGCACCAAAGGGCUGGGAAUGCCAAGUGGCUGCUGUCGCUAGCUCAUCCUGUGCAUCCCUUUGGAAUGCUGCUUGCAGAGCCAGUUUAAAACUAGCGCUUAUUCUUGGCAGUGCAAGCACGUAUGAAAGCAGAGGUGUGAACAGGGACGUGUACCACCACCAAGGAUACUGGGAACUGCAAUAAAGCCCGGGCAGCCCAUCAAGUAGCCCUGCAGAAGCCAGGAAUGGUGAUCCAGGCCAACACAGAGCUGCAGUCACGUGAGGAAGAAAAUCCCAGAUCUUACUGUGUGGUUUAUAAUGAAGCUUCACACCUGAGUUUGAAGCCUGCAUGCACGGCUUUUGUGACACAGUGGCUACUCUAAGGUAACCAAUGCAUAUUAAGAAGGCACUUUCUGUAGGACAGAUGUUCCCUCAGGAGUCCUGUGCCAGACCGGGCUGUGACGGACUCUUUCCCCCUGCCCUUUGCAGAUAAUUCUGCUUUGCCCAAACAGGCCCCCGGCACGGCCACUGCUGAGAGCCGCCAGCCCUUCUUCCCUGCGCGGUGUGAGCCAGCGCCUGUGGGAAACCCGGCUGGAAGCGGCCCCUGGAGCGAGGGCCCGGCUCUCGCAGCAGGGAGAGCUGGCAGCUCUGGGAGUAGGGGGCGAUAGGGAGGAUCCCAGCGCCGAGCCCUUCUCGCCAUCGGCAGCAGGGAGAAGGGGCAGAGAUCUGAUCUCACAUUGUACAGCCAGCGCUGCCCCGUGAGCCCGGCGCAGAGGAGAGGCCGGGAGCUCACUGAACGGCAGGGACCAGAGAGUGAGGGAAAGCGGCAGCGGGCUCAUCCCCAGGCCGUGUGCCCAGCCCAGGACAGAUCAUUCCCCGGUGAUGUGCAAUACUUGCCCAGACCAGGACAGACCCGAAAAGGUCUGUCUGACACAUCUGAGCUCGUCUGCACCCACAGAACCUGAGUCAGAGACCUGCCUUCCAAGGAGCCCCCAGUCCUGAAAGGUGCUGUAAGAGGACGUGAGCCUUCUCCUCCAACACUGGCAUAAAUACUGUUUGCAGGGGGGAAGAAAAUAUUGUGCCUGCUCCUUUUUCUAUGGGAUGGUCAAAUAAACUAAACCAGUGACAGUAGUAAAACA